GUGAAUCAUCGAAUCUUUGAACGCAAAUUGCACUCUCGGGUAUUCCGGAGAGUAUGCCUGUUUGAGGGUCAGUGUAAAUAAAAAUCGGUGUGGUUGCUACCUGUCGUAGUGACGCACCGGCUUGGGUUCAUCUUUCCUUCGGUGAAGUUACCUAGAAUGAUGCAUGAUUUUUUGUAACGUAUUCCGAUGAUUUUACGUACGUUUGCGAUAUCGAAUGCUAUGUAUGGUCAUCCUCAUGACUCU
rnacentral:misc_RNA from 1 species